rnacentral:rRNA from 1 species
UUCUGGCUCAGGAUGAACGCUGGCGGCGUGCUUAACACAUGCAAGUCGAACGAUUAAGACCCCUUCGGGGGUGUAUAGAGUGGCGAACGGGUGAGUAACACGUAGGCAACCUGCCCCUCACUUCGGGAUAACUCAGGGAAACCUGUGCUAAUACCGGAUACUCCGGGAUGGUCGCAUGGCCGGCCCGGGAAAGCUCCGACGGUGAGGGAUGGGCCCGCGGCCCAUUAGCUUGUUGGUGAGGUAACGGCUCACCAAGGCGACGAUGGGUAGCCGAGCUGAGAGGCUGAUCGGCCACACUGGGACUGAGACACGGCCCAGACUCCUACGGGAGGCAGCAGUGGGGAAUCUUGCGCAAUGGGCGAAAGCCUGACGCAGCAACGCCGCGUGCGGGAUGAAGGCCUUCGGGUUGUAAACCGCUUUCGGCAGGGACGAAACUGACUGUACCUGCAGAAGAAGCCCCGGCUAACUACGUGCCAGCAGCCGCGGUAAUACGUAGGGGGCAAGCGUUAUCCGGAUUCAUUGGGCGUAAAGCGCGCGUAGGCGGCUUGUUAAGCGGGAUGUGAAAACCGGGGGCUCAACCCGCGGCCUGCAUCUCGAACUGGCAGGCUUGAGUCUGGUAGAGGAAAGUGGAAUUCCCAGUGUAGCGGUGAAAUGCGCAGAUAUUGGGAGGAACACCAGUGGCGAAGGCGGCUUUCUGGGCCACGACUGACGCUGAGGCGCGAAAGCUAGGGGAGCGAACAGGAUUAGAUACCCUGGUAGUCCUAGCCGUAAACGAUGGGCACUAGGUGUGGGGGGUUAUCAACUCCCUCCGUGCCGCAGCUAACGCAUUAAGUGCCCCGCCUGGGGAGUACGGCCGCAAGGCUAAAACUUUAAU